rfam:Nicotiana sylvestris Nsyl_contig296964, whole genome shotgun sequence.
UGAUUAUAAUGAGGACAAUCUAAAAUUAUUCUCUUGAACCUCUCCCAAGCAUAAUAUAAGGACUCGCCCUCUUUCAGUUUAAAAAUGACUAUCUCACUUCUAAUUUU